UCCAUAAGAGCUGGCAGACCUGAAAUUAUUUCAUGAAAAGGGCCGUCGGUGCCCAGUUGAAGGAUCUGACAAGUUCUGUCCGCGGAAGUACACGACUUCUUUUACAGUAAUGCAAAAGGUUCUUUUAUAAAAGAAAGUGUUAAACAAGCAAGGUGCUUGCUCUACAAUAUCAGUCACCCCUGAGACUCUGUAUACAAACUGUUGAUAUUUUUUAAUUUUUCUGUAAUUUCACAAUGAAUGGGACAAGGGGCUUCUGCACGGCCCAGCUUUUGUUAAAUAAAGUAAACUUAAACACACAUUGGUAAUGCAGUUGGAUUUAUUUUCAUGCUAAACGUUUGUUACUUGGACCUAUGCUUUUUGAACUACUACCGAAACAGCAAACAAUACAAUUGAAGUUUUAUAUAAGAGCUGAAAUUUGAGCUGUAAUAAUGUAUUUUUGAUUGCUGGCUGAUAUUGAUUGUUAUUUCCCUACUAUUUUAAAUAUUUUGUUGCUUUUUAUGACACUUGAACAAGUCAAGCUCACCACCUAUUGGAAAGACACAUGAAAGGCGCACCUUCCUGACUUUUUGCGAAUUAAGUUAAGAAGGUGCGCUUUUCGUUUGACAAGAAUGCACCGCAAGGGUGAAAGUACGUUUUAGCUCAAAACCCCAUGGUGGAAGGCAGGACCAUUCAUUCGUGAGACCACUUCCUCAAUUUAGACAUAGAUCUGACAGGGAAAGAAAUUUUCUCCAGGUACUUCUUGUGUGACCGACAGCAUGACUUUUGAUUCCACAGAUUUUACGAGUACGUACAUCAGAUGUACUUGAUGGGUCUUAGCGGAGAAGAGGAUCGAAUCCCGACUCCCGCGGAGUCCGAUUCUCUAUUAAGCACUGCCCAAAAUAUUUUGAAAAGGGGGUGUAACAACAUCAUAUUUGGCAAAUUAGUUAUUAGUUUUAAAAACUAAAAUGGUUAUUGAAUUACGAAUAUUUAUCAUCAGUUCAUGUUAAAAUAGUCCCAAUGUAAUGAUAAUUACUGCAUGACCAGCUAUACCUAGUUGCCAACAAAAGCGUUUACUUGAAUAUAAUACUACAAACAUUUCAUUUUUCAAGAAAAAGAAAUGAUGAAAGCGCUAAAGACAUAGAAUAUUUCUAAUAAAAUCAAAAAGUAAACAGCUAUAAUUAUUUUAUCAAAUUGAAACCUAUAUGUAAUUAAUCUGGAACAUUUUCAAAAAUAUUUCAAAUUGUUACGAAUUUUUUUGUA